UAUUUCCUACUCUGAUUGUAAAAAUAACACUUGGAAUGUUUGUUGUUGGUUAUUCUCAGAUGCCCUUCUGAGUACCAGUAUUGCUGCAGUCCGCACUGUUGUAUUGUCAAUAGACAGCAUAAGGAACUUUGGGAGACAUGGUAUUUUUGGUUUGGAGCAAUAGUCAUUUUUUUAUUUGUUCUUACAUCAGCAUUUUCAUAUGUGAUUGGUUCCUGUAAACGCAGACAACAAAAUCUGAUUCGCAUCAGAAACAUUUCAACUCCAGCAGCAAUUCCAGUGAUUAGCACUAUAAGUGGACCAGGGGGCAUCAUUCAACCAAGAGUUAAUUACAAAAAGCCACAUUCAUCUUCAGUGCAAGCUACUGCAAUCAUUAGCAACUCUGAUAUGCAUGUGGAAGAUUUUGCAGGUCCUUUGGAUCCCCCAUAUCCAGCAGUUCAACCGGUUACUAUAGUAAGGGGCAAUGUGCCUCCUCAGGGUUUUCGACAAACUACUAGCUAUACUGAACUUGUGCUACCUCCUGGUUAUGUUGACACAGAACACUACAAAAGACCAUUUUGAGGUCCUUGUUUGUAACACAUGUAUUGUCUUCUUUACUAUAAAGCAGAAUUUAUAUUACUGAAAAUUGAAAGAGCUUUAUUUUUUUUUUCUGCCUGGAUGUCUACUUUCAAGAGAAGAUAGUGUACAUCACAUCUUGUUUCUGUAUGAUAGGUGUCCAACCUUCUAAUCAUACAAUCAAAUUUCAUUAUUCAUACUAGAGGCACUUGCCUAUGAUGAAAUUCGUAUCUUUCCCUUCAGUAUAAUAAAAGAAAUAAAUAGAUUGAAUUAUGAAUAUUUAAAUUUAUAUGCGAAGGUUCAGAUUUCAUGAUUAGUCACUUUUAUUCAGAUUUAUUUAGCAAAAAGUUUCUAGGUAAAAUUUAGGGGUAAAAAUAUGGUAUUAAUCCCCUCCCCCCAUUUUCUUGUCCAAAAGUAUGGAAGCCGAAAUUACACUAGUAAGUACACUAUGUCAGAGUUGGCUCUGAUAUUUGGGGUGUUGUGUUUUCUGCAUACCUUACUUCAUAUAAAAAUGUUGUGACAUGAGAGCUGAAGCCAGAAAAGUGGAACAAAUAAAUGUGGCCAUUGCCAGGCAAUGGCAUAGUAAACUUGGCAGUGGUCAAGCUUACGACCGUUCAAGUGACUAAGCUGCCGCUGUAGCAUAAGAUACAUAAGAUAGGCAUGAUCUGCUCUGCAAAGCCUGUAUUGACAGAAAACUUGUGUAUCAUGCAACAGGAAAAAUUUUUCAGUAACAUGAUAUAUGUCCAAAAUAUACACUUGACGAAAGGCCAAGCAUAUUCAUACAAGAGAAACCCAUCUCUUCAUCAGAGAGGGUGUUACAUAAGGAUUAUUACUCCAAGGAUUCAGUUUUGGGGGGAAAAAAUCUCUGGUAGUGGGUGUCAUGGGGCUUGCCACCAAGAGAAACUGAUUGGUGGUAAACUGCCAGUCAUAGAGUAACUUUUACUCUGACUUUGACUUUGACUUUGACUUGAAGCCAGUCAAUAGCAUUUAAAGCAAAUGUCAUUUGGAGGCAGUGCUAUGAGCUAAGUAAACAAUUGCAAGACUUACAUAUAAAUGUGGCUGUGCUCGCAGAGACACAUCUCAAACCCCAUGAGAGGUUCUUCAUUCCAAAUUAUCAUUUUAAUCGGACUGACCACUUCCUGGGAAAAAAAAGGCAUUCUCCAUAACCACAUAGACCUGUGCUAUAUACUCGUAUGUGUGAUACAUACACUUGACAAAGGCCAAAGCUAUUCAUAAGAAAGAUACCCAUCCUCUCAUCUGGGAAGGUGCUACAUAAGGACUACAACUGCAAUGGUUCAGUUGGGUGGGGGCUCUGGUUGUGAGCCUCAACUGGUUUAGUGCCAAGAAGAACUGAUUGGCGGUAUACUGUCAGUCAUAAAGUAGCUCUAACUCUAAUUCUGACUCUGACUCUGAUAAGCCAGUCAGAAGUCAGAGUCAGUAGUUAGCAAGAGUCUUUUUUUGGCUAGUAGGGUGGGACUAAGUCCCUUGUACUGCAGCCACUUCUGGCCUAUUGUACCAGC